AUGCUCGCUUUGGCAGCACAUAUACUAAAAUUGGAAUGAUACAGAGAAGAUUCACAUGGCCCCUGUGCAAGGAAUAAAGGAAUAAUUUAAAAGAAUCCAAGCAAGGA